UACAGAGGUCUCAAGCGUUGUUCGGAUUCAUUGGGCGUAAAGGGUGCGUAGGUGGCGCCGUAAGUCGGGUGUGAAAUUUCGGAGCUUAACUCCGAAACUGCAUUCGAUACUGCGGUGCUUGAGGACUGGAGAGGAGACUGGAAUUCCUGGUGUAGCGGUGAAAUGCGCAGAUAUCAGGAGGAACACCGGUGGCGAAGGCGGGUCUCUGGGCAACAACUGACGCUGAGGAGCGAAAGUGUGGGGAGCGAACAGG
rnacentral:rRNA from 1 species